rnacentral:rRNA from 1 species
AGAGUUUGAUCCUGGCUCAGGAUGAACGCUGGCGGCGUGCUUAACACAUGCAAGUCGAACGAUGAAGCCCAGCUUGCUGGGUGGAUUAGUGGCGAACGGGUGAGUAACACGUGAGUAACCUGCCCUUAACUCUGGGAUAAGCCUGGGAAACUGGGUCUAAUACCGGAUAGGAGCGUCCACCGCAUGGUGGGUGUUGGAAAGAUUUAUCGGUUUUGGAUGGACUCGCGGCCUAUCAGCUUGUUGGUGAGGUAAUGGCUCACCAAGGCGACGACGGGUAGCCGGCCUGAGAGGGUGACCGGCCACACUGGGACUGAGACACGGCCCAGACUCCUACGGGAGGCAGCAGUGGGGAAUAUUGCACAAUGGGCGAAAGCCUGAUGCAGCGACGCCGCGUGAGGGAUGACGGCCUUCGGGUUGUAAACCUCUUUCAGUAGGGAAGAAGCGAAAGUGACGGUACCUGCAGAAGAAGCACCGGCUAACUACGUGCCAGCAGCCGCGGUAAUACGUAGGGUGCGAGCGUUAUCCGGAAUUAUUGGGCGUAAAGAGCUCGUAGGCGGUUUGUCGCGUCUGUCGUGAAAGUCCGGGGCUUAACCCCGGAUCUGCGGUGGGUACGGGCAGACUAGAGUGCAGUAGGGGAGACUGGAAUUCCUGGUGUAGCGGUGGAAUGCGCAGAUAUCAGGAGGAACACCGAUGGCGAAGGCAGGUCCCUGGCUGUAACUGACGCUGAGGAGCGAAAGCAUGGGGAGCGAACAGGAUUAGAUACCCUGGUAGUCCAUGCCGUAAACGUUGGGCACUAGGUGUGGGGACCAUUCC